UACGGAGGGUGCAAGCGUUAUUCGGAUUCACUGGGUUUAAAGGGUGCGUAGGUGGGCAUGUAAGUCAGUGGUGAAAUCUCCGGGCUUAACCCGGAAACUGCCAUUGAUACUAUUUGUCUUGAAUACUGUGGAGGUCAGCGGAAUAUGUCAUGUAGCGGUGAAAUGCGUAGAUAUCUGGAGGAACACCGGUGGCGAAGGCGGCAUCCUGGACCAUAACUGACGCUGAGGCGCGAAAGCUAGGGGAGCAAACGGG
rnacentral:rRNA from 1 species